rnacentral:rRNA from 1 species
UACGUAGGUCCCGAGCGUUGUCCGGAUUUAUUGGGCGUAAAGCGAGCGCAGGUGGUUUAUGAAGUCUGGUGUAAAAGGCAGUGGCUCAACCAUUGUAUGCAUUGGAAACUGGUAGACUUGAGUGCAGGAGAGGAGAGUGGAAUUCCAUGUGUAGCGGUGAAAUGCGUAGAUAUAUGGAGGAACACCGGUGGCGAAAGCGGCUCUCUGGCCUGUAACUGACACUGAGGCUCGAAAGCGUGGGGAGCAAACAGG